GGGUCAGUAGGUUGGUCGUGCCACCGGUACGUACUGGUCUCACUGAUUCCUCCUUCCUGAAGAACCGUAAUGCCAUUAAUCUGGUGUUGCGGGGAAGCAGGACUGUUACUUUGAAAAAAUUAGAGUGUUUAAAGCAAGCUAACGCUUGAAUACAUUAGCAUGGAAUAAUGAAAUAGGACGAUCGAUCCUAUUUUGUUGGUUUCUAGGAUUGACGUA
rnacentral:rRNA from 1 species